rnacentral:rRNA from 1 species
UACGGGGGGGGUAAGCGUUGUUCGGAAUUACUGGGCGUAAAGGGCUCGUAGGCGGCCAACUAAGUCAUUCGUGAAAUCCCUCAGCUUAACUGGGGAACUGCGUGUGAUACUGGAUGGCUUGGAUUUGGGAGAGGGAUGCGGAAUUCCAGGUGUAGCGGUGAAAUGCGUAGAUAUCUGGAGGAAUACCGGUGGCGAAGGCGGCAUCCUGGACCGAGAUUGACACUGAUGAGCGAAAGCUAGGGGAGCAAACGGG